rnacentral:rRNA from 1 species
UACGUAGGGACCAAGCGUUGUUCGGAUUUACUGGGCGUAAAGGGCGCGUAGGCGGCGCGGUAAGUCACUUGUGAAAUCUCUGAGCUUAACUCAGAACGGCCAAGUGAUACUGCAGUGCUAGAGUGUGGAAGGGGCAAUCGGAAUUCUUGGUGUAGCGGUGAAAUGCGUAGAUAUCAAGAGGAACACCUGAGGUGAAGACGGGGUUGCUGGGCCAACACUGACGCUGAUGCGCGAAAGCCAGGGGGAGCAAAACAGG